rnacentral:rRNA from 1 species
UACGUAGGGUGCGAGCGUUGUCCGGAAUUAUUGGGCGUAAAGGGCUCGUAGGCGGUUUGUCGCGUCGGGAGUGAAAUCCACUGGCUUAACUGGUGGCUUGCUUUCGAUACGGGCAGACUGGAGGUAUGUAGGGGAGAACGGAAUUCCUGGUGUAGCGGUGAAAUGCGCAGAUAUCAGGAGGAACACCGGUGGCGAAGGCGGUUUCCUGGAGCCCACUUGACGCUGAGACGCGAAAGCUGGGGGAGCAAACGGG